rnacentral:rRNA from 1 species
ACGAUAUAGUGGCAGACGGGUGAGUAACGCGUGGGAACGUACCUUUCACUACGGAAUAGCUCUGGGAAACUGGUGGUAAUACCGUAUACGCCCUCCGGGGGAAAGAUUUAUCGGUGAAAGAUCGGCCCGCGUUGGAUUAGCUAGUUGGUGAGGUAAUGGCUCACAAAGGCGACGAUCCAUAGCUGGUCUGAGAGGAUGAUCAGCCACACUGGGACUGAGACACGGCCCAGACUCCUACGGGAGGCAGCAGUGGGGAAUCUUGCACAAUGGGCGAAAGCCUGAUGCAGCCAUGCCGCGUGAAUGAUGAAGGCCUUAGGGUUGUAAAAUUCUUUCGUCAGGGAUGAUAAUGACCGUACCUGAAGAAGAAGCCCCGGCUAACUUCGUGCCAGCAGCCGCGGUAAUACGAAGGGGGCUAGCGUUGUUCGGAAUUACUGGGCGUAAAGCGCACGUAGGCGGACUUUUAAGUCAGGUGUGAAAUCCCGGGGCUCAACCUCGGAACUGCAUUUGAAACUGGGAGUCUUGAGAUCAGGAGAGGUUAGCGGAAUACCGAGUGUAGAGGUGAAAUUCGUAGAUAUUCGGUGGAACACCAGUGGCGAAGGCGGCUAACUGGACUGAUACUGACGCUGAGGUGCGAAAGUGUGGGGAGCAAACAGGAUUAGAUACCCUGGUAGUCCACACCGUAAACGAUGAGAGCUAGUUGUUGGCAGGCAUGCCUGUCGGUGACGCAGCUAACGCAUUAAGCUCUCCGCCUGGGGAGUACGGCCCCAAGGUUAAAACUCAAAGAAAUUGACGGGGGCCCCGCCCAAGCGGUGGAGCAUGUG